rnacentral:tRNA from 1 species
UCCCUAGUAGCUCAGAUGGUAAAGCAUCUGACUGCAAUGCAGGAGACCCGAGUUUGAUCCCUGGGUUGGGAA